rnacentral:rRNA from 1 species
UACAGAGGGGGCAAGCGUUAUUCGGAAUUAUUGGGCGUAAAGGGCGCGUAGGCGGCUUGGCAAGUGGAAGGUGAAAUCCCUCGGCUUAACCGAGGAACUGCCUUCCAGACUGCUUUGCUUGAGGCCGGGAGAGGCGAGUGGAAUUCCCAGUGUAGCGGUGAAAUGCGUAGAUAUUGGGAGGAACACCAAUGGCGAAGGCAGCACUCUGGGACGUGACUGACGCUGAGACGCGAAAGCGUGGGGAGCAAACAGG